AAUAACUUUAUUUUUCGUUUUUCCGUGUCCAACGUUUGACCAUUCGUUUUAUUUGAAAAAUUUGUGAAAAAACUUAAAAAAAUUAAUCACGUAUAAAGUACUAUUCAUAUUUUAUCAUCUAGUAAUAAUAAAAAUAUUAAUCACAAAAAAUUUUAAAUAAGACAAAUAGUCAAACUUUAGACACGAAAAAAC
rfam:Oryza brachyantha chromosome 8, whole genome shotgun sequence.